GCAAGGGGGUCAUCCCGACUUACCAACCCGAUGCAAACUGCGAAUACCGGAGAAUGUUAUCACGGGAGACACACGGCGGGUGCUAACGUCCGUCGUGAAGAGGGAAACAACCCAGACCGCCAGCUAAGGUCCCAAAGUCAUGGUUAAGUGGGAAACGAUGUGGGAAGGCCCAGACAGCCAGGAUGUUGGCUUAGAAGCAGCCAUCAUUUAAAGAAAGCGUAAUAGCUCACUGGUCGAGUCGGCCUGCGCGGAAGAUGUAACGGGGCUAAACCAUGCACCGAAGCUGCGGCAGCGACACUAUGUGUUGUUGGGUAGGGGAGCGUUCUGUAAGCCUGUGAAGGUGUGCUGUGAGGCAUGCUGGAGGUAUCAGAAGUGCGAAUGCUGACAUAAGUAACGAUAAAGCGGGUGAAAAGCCCGCUCGCCGGAAGACCAAGGGUUCCUGUCCAACGUUAAUCGGGGCAGGGUGAGUCGACCCCUAAGGCGAGGCCGAAAGGCGUAGUCGAUGGGAAACAGGUUAAUAUUCCUGUACUUGGUGUUACUGCGAAGGGGGGACGGAGAAGGCUAUGUUGGCCGGGCGACGGUUGUCCCGGUUUAAGCGUGUAGGCUGGUUUUCCAGGCAAAUCCGGAAAAUCAAGGCUG
rnacentral:rRNA from 1 species